UAAGCUGUUUCUCCUUUAGGGGCUACUCCAAGCCCAGUAAUGCUGUGGUUCUUGCAGACUCGUAGAGGUCUGCCUUGAUGCUCUUGGACAAGAUCCGGGAGAAUUCUCUGUAUUACCAGGCAAAGACUCUUUUUCUCUUCCCUUUCUCCCAAACAUACAGAGUCUUUCUAAAGCUGGGGGUGAAGUGACACAAGCACCCCUGUGGCCACCACUGCUUUGACUGUGCUGGGUCAGACCUGAAGCCAGCAUAGCACUGGGUCUUGUCCAAGGCCUGCUGAAACCACUGCCUGGCUACUGUCUAUGUUUGCUCAAGGCCAGGGGCUCUACAAUCAGCAUGUGGCAAAGCCAGCCAGGUCAGUGUCCUCUUCGGGGUGACGAGGUCCCCUAAACCCUGGGUGGGUCCAGAAGUGCCAUACAGGAGUCAGGGACUAGAGUUAAAAACCUUAGAAGUCUACCUGGUGCUCUAUUGUAUUGUGGCUGAGCUGGCAGUCAAACAAGACACAGUCCUUCGCACUCUUCCCUCCGCUUUUCCAAAGGCAGAGGAGCCUCACUCCAUAGCCACCACUACCCCUGGCCAUGAGGAGUACUGUCAGACUAUCAUUAAUGUUCCCUUAUGGCCCAAGGUCUCUUAAGUCAGCUUGUCCUGAAUCCUGCUGACCCUUGGAGUCACCCUUCAGGGCAGUGGGCCCUGCUCUGGUGCAGGGCAGGUCUAGAAAUUCCAUCCAAGAGUCAAGUCCUGGAAUCAGAGACCCCAAGAGCCUUCUUGGUGCUCUACCUGCUGUGGCUGUGCUGGUACGUGAAGCCAGCAAGACUGAGAGGCUCACCCAAGGUCCUUAAUGUAGUAUGAUGCCUCACGAUUGCUGUGUUCUCUCUGCCCCUCCUCCUGCACCUUGGAGGGAGUGGUGGCCUGAGUGACUCAGGAUUAUUUUUUCUAUCUCUUUAGUGCCUCUUUCAGCAAGAUGAGGUUAAAACCAGGUACUAUGAGUGCUCACCUGAUUUUUGGUACUUAUGCAGGUGUUUCUUUUUCUUUUUUUUUUUUUUUUGAGAUAGAGUCUCGUUCUGUUGCCUAGGCUGGAGUGAAGUGGUGUAAUCUCAUCUCACUGCAACCUCUGUCCCCGGGUUCAAGCAAUUCUCCUGCCUCAGCCUCCCAAGCAGCUGGGAUUACAGGCACCUGACACCACACCUGGCUAAUUUUUGUAUUUUUAGUAGAGACAGAGUUUCACCAUGUUGGCCAGGCUCAUCUUGAACUCCUGACCUCAAGUGAUUCGCCCGCCUCAGCCUCCCAAAGUGCUGGGAUUACAGGCGUGAACCACUGCACUCAGCCAACAGGUGUUUCCUCUGUGUAGACAGUUGUUAACUUGGUGUCCUUGUGGGUGGUGGGGGGCAUAAUCGGUGGAGCCUUCUACUCUGCCAUUGUGUCUGCCUCUGUAUCAUGAUUUAUGUACACUGAAAAGUUAGGUUUGUAAAAAUAGCUUGUUGGUAUUACAAACGACAUGGAAGUUUUUCCUUUUCCCACUAAAGGGAUAUAAGAUUCCCCAGACAUAUACAACCCCCCAAAUCCAUCAAUUUAUCAUCAUAAAAAGACAAUUCUUGAAUGAUUUAUUUUAUCCCAAACUUUAAAGUGUAAAGCAGAACACUUGAUUUUUAUUGUAUUAUUUUUAUAAAUUUAUAGACUAUGAAGGAAGGGAAAUUGCAGGCUAUAAAAGAGGAGGACUGAUUGUAAGGUAUAUCAGAGAAAUGGAAAAAAAUGCUAAUUGAAAAGCAUGAUGUGGUAGGCAGACUUCAAAGAUGGUCCCUAUCUUCUGCUAUUCAUGCCCUUGUGUGAUCUUUUAUCCUUGAUUGCAAGCUGGACUUAAUGACUUGUGUCUAGCCAAAAGAAUAUGGCGAAGGUGGUGGAAUGCUGCUUCUGUGAUUAGGUUAUAAAAUAUAGUGCCUUCUGUCUUGCUAGCAGAUCCUCCCUGUGGUUUUCUCAGCUUGCAUGCUUUGAUGAAUUGAAGUAAGCUGCCAUGUGGAAGAGGUGCAUUGUUAAGGAAAUGAGGGCAACCUCUGGCCACUAGCUAGCAAGGAAGUGAGGUCCUUUGCCCAACAGCCUGUGAAGAAGUGACUGCUAUGGACAAUCACUGCGUGAGCUUGGGAAGUUGCUCCUUCGUCAGUCAGAGCUUCAGAUGAGACUGCAGACCCACAUCAACACCUUGACAGAGACUGCAACCCAGAGGACCCAGAUAAGCCGUGCCCAGACUCAUUUCCCAUAGAAACUGAGAUAGAAAAUAUGGGGUUUCACCAAGGAUCCGUUCCAAGAUGGCCG
rnacentral:lncRNA from 1 species